rnacentral:siRNA from 1 species
UCUUUACAGUUGCCAGACCACUCA